rnacentral:rRNA from 1 species
AGUGAACGCUGGCGGUAGGCCUAACACAUGCAAGUCGAACGGCAGCACAGUAAGAGCUUGCUCUUACGGGUGGCGAGUGGCGGACGGGUGAGGAAUACAUCGGAAUCUACUUUUUCGUGGGGGAUAACGUAGGGAAACUUACGCUAAUACCGCAUACGACCUACGGGUGAAAGCAGGGGAUCUUCGGACCUUGCGCGAUUGAAUGAGCCGAUGUCGGAUUAGCUAGUUGGCGGGGUAAAGGCCCACCAAGGCGACGAUCCGUAGCUGGUCUGAGAGGAUGAUCAGCCACACUGGAACUGAGACACGGUCCAGACUCCUACGGGAGGCAGCAGUGGGGAAUAUUGGGCAAUGGGCGCAAGCCUGAUCCAGCCAUACCGCGUGGGUGAAGAAGGCCUUCGGUUUGUAAAGCCCUUUUGUUGGGAAAGAACAGCAGCAGGUUAAUACCCCGCUGUUCUGACGGUACCCAAUGAAUAAGCACCGGCUAACUUCGUG